rnacentral:rRNA from 1 species
GGUGUCCUUAGUGGCGCACGGGUGAGUAACACGUGGGAACAUACCUUAUAGUCGGAAUAACUGCGGGAAACUGUAGCUAAUACCGUAUAUUCCAGUAAUGGGAAAGAUUUAUCGCUAUAAGAUUGGCCCGCGCAAGAUUAGCUUGUUGGUGAGGUAAAAGCUCACCAAGGCUUCGAUCUUUAGCUGGUUUGAGAGGACGAUCAGCCACACUGGGACUGAGACACGGCCCAGACUCCUACGGGAGGCAGCAGUAGGGAAUAUUGGACAAUGGGGGAAACCCUGAUCCAGCAAUGCAGCGUGAGUGACGAAGGCCUUAGGGAUGUAAAACUCUUUCAUCGGUGAGGAUAAUGACAGUAGCCGAAGAAGAAGGACCGGCUAAU